GAUGUCGGCUCUCCUAUCAUGAGACGCAGAAGUCUCAAAGUGUCGGAUGUCACCGCCAAUAGGGAACGUGAGCUGGGUUUAGACCGUCGUGAGACAGGUUAGUUUUACCCUACUGACAAAGUAGAUACUGCGACAGUAGUCGAAGUUAGUACGAGAGGAACACUUCGUCCAGAUACUUGGUUAAUGCCGUUGUCUGAAAAGACAGUACGGCGAAGCUACCAUCUGCUGGAUUACGGCUGAACGCCUCUAAGCCGGAAUCCAUGCUGGAUAAGCAGUGUUGUACACCGUGCUCAAUGCUACAAGAAAAAGGCUAGGUCAGGCUUCGGCCUGACCAAAAUUCAAGCUGCUAUACCUCUGGCUGCAUUGACUUGUGGUCAGAGUGUAUGGUGAUCAUAGCAAUUGCAAGUAUUGGGCUCGAUAAAUCCUUUGAAGACGACUUAAUUGCAUCCGGGUAUUGUAAGUGUUGAGAGUAGGCUUAGUCUUACGAUCCACUGAGAUUCAUCCCGUGUUGCGCCGAUUUGU
rnacentral:ncRNA from 1 species